rfam:Gasterosteus aculeatus cont1.005121, whole genome shotgun sequence.
GGCUCUGUGGCUUAGUUGGUCAAAGUGCCUGUUUCGUAAACAGGAGACUCUGGGUUCAAAUCCCAGCAGGGCCU